rnacentral:lncRNA from 1 species
AUGUCUAACCUAAAUCCCUUCUGCUUCACCACAUCAUUUCUUCUUUCUUUCUUUUUCUUUUUUCUUUCUUUCUUUCUUUCUUUCUUUCUUUCUUUCUUUCUUUCUUCCUUUCUUCCUUCCUUCCGUCCUUCCUUCCGUCCGUCCGUCCGUCCGUCCGUCCGUCCGUCCGUCCGUCCGUCCGUCCGUCCGUCCGUCCUUCCUUCCUUCCUUCCUUUCUUUCUUUCUUUCUUUCUUUCUUUCUUUCUUUCUUUCUUUCUUUCUUUCUUUCUUUCUUUCUUUCUUUCUUUCUUUCUUUCUUUCUUUCUUUCUUUCUUUCUUUCUUUCUUUCUUUCUUUCUUUCUUUCUUUCUUUCUUUCUUUCUUUCUUUCUUUCUUUCUUUCUUUUUUCUUUUCUUUUCUUUUCUUUUCUUUUCUUUUCUUUUCUUUUCUUUUCUUUUCUUUUCUUUUUUUUUUUGGCUUCUUGAGGUCUACUUUCUGGAGAAGGAAAAGCCAGCUGAGUGUACAGCUCCCCCUCGUGUUCAGUGACUAGUAGUACUACAUUUUUCUAGAACACUAGAGCAUAGAAUUCGUUAUUGUGAACCCAAGCCAUCUUUUGGAGGAAAUCCUGGGAUAACUUGAUAACUACAAUUUUAGAUUCUGCCUGUUAAUAUGUUUCAGUGUGAGAUUUAUUUUUUGCACUUUUGUUUUUUUUAAACAGCAGGUUGUACUUCCAACUUAUUUUUUUUCUUCUCAUUUUGCCUUAUUGCCAGAAGCAUAAAUAGAAGAGUUCCUAUGUUUUGUUUUUUGGGGGGCGGUGUGGGGUAUUAUUUAGAAAUUCCUAAUCCCAUGACUUGCAACCUAAUUAUAUUCUUUCAGAGCUCUCUGUUGGGGACAGAAAUGAAUCAAAAUACCCCAUAGUGAAGCCCAAAGAAAGCCCUGAAUCACUUCAGUGCCUUACUAAAUGUAAGGAGCAAUUAUGCUGAUGUAUGCUUAUGGAGGGGAAAACUGAAACUGGUUCUUCUGAAUAUUAAGAUGUCUAAAAUCACAUCAAUGUCCAUUCUUUGAAUGGAAAGUACAUUUAAUGGAAUUAUUUGUCCCCAUCUUCUACCUUGUUUAGCCUUUUAAAGAAACAGAGAUGGGUGGGAUAUUAGAGAACAUGUUACCACUGUUAUUUUACAUGUAAAGAACCAGGUAAAAGGGGAUGAAGUGGCUGGUCUAAAGUCACAUAGAUAGUGGUAAAGGCAACCCCAUAAUGACUUACAAUAAUUAGCCUGACAUAGCUAAUUAAAUGUUCAAACAUUUAUUAAUCACCAACAAUAUAUAAGAUAUGGAGCUGGAGAUAUAGAUACAAAAAUAAAAAGAUUUCUGACCUUAAGCA